UACUUCCGGAAGUGGCGCCAAAUUCCUGUACCAACUUGUAUGAAUGUAAACAGCCAGCGAAAGUUGUUUAAAUUGCAGUUCAAGAUAACGAUACUACUUUUAGAAACACAUCUGCUAACAAAUUGACUCGUAGGCACUUUUUUCGCUGCGAAACCUAGCCGUGAAGAUUGAAACUGCCGGUCUUUAGCAGGCACACCAGAACUACGACGAAGAAGGUAUGAAACAGACUUCCACCAGAGAUACAGUAACUAUAUAAUGACGAGAUUGGUCUCCGAUAAGCAGGCGGUCUGCCAAAAAACCUUUGAAACUAGAUGUAAUUUAUAUGAAUGUUCCACUGGGUAGAGGUGAGGUCAAAUGUAGGAUCAGAACCAUUUUGAUAGGUGUAUGGCAGAAGAAGAGUCAGUCCACAUCUACCGUAUUAUCACUUUGUUGUGUAACGUUCUGUAAAACUGUUUCAGAUCAUAGCACUGAGGGUGCAGCGCGAGUUUUGCAUGAGCUGCACUCAGAGGUCAGCGGCCUCAAUGUAACCCUCAAUGUGGCACCUGAUGAGCUGCUUGUAGUUAAUAAUAGCUAUGUGAUUCAUUAGUAUACAUAUUUAGAGAAUGAUUUACAUAACUGGCUUGUUGUGCAUGCCCAGGGCCAGGUGAAGGAGCAGCUGAUGCGCCAACAGGCAGUGGCAAGUAGCCUAGUGGUUAGAGCGUUGGACUUGUAACCGGAAGGUUGCAAGAUUGAAUCCCCGAACUGACAAGGUAAACAGGUAAACAUCUGUCGUUCUGCCCCUGAACAAGGCAGUUAACCUACUGUUCCUAGGCCGUCAUUGAAAAUAAGAAUUUGUUAUUAACUGACUUGCCUAGUUAAAGGUAAAAAAAGGAGAAUGAGGUGAUGAGCUUCAUAAAGAUGUGUAUGGUGCUGAAGCAGAGGACCACAGAGGACAUACAGAGACACUAUGAAAAAUAUGUCUACAAAGCACCUAAGAACACACAGAAACAGACAGAGCCGAACCGCCAGGAGGCAGAAGCUUCAGAGAAAGAGGAUGACACCGAGUGAGUAGAGGAGGACCAGGAGGCAGGAAAGGAGGAACACCUCCCCUCAGUGACCCCUUUGAAGAUACCUCCAUUGACCCCAUGCGCAUCCCCCAGCUCUCUAACUUCGACCUGUCGGAGAUCCACCUGAAGAGGGUACAAUUAGAACCUGACACUGAUUUGUGGCAGUGUUUUCCAGCGCUGAGGCCCACACGCCCAUGAUGACCCUUCCUCCGCCCUCUCUGGUCCUGGCCAUGCCCAAAACACCAAGAUGGCAGCCAAUCAGUCUGUCUGAUCCUUGAGAUCAGAGUUAAGAGUUAUGUUUUAAUGACCCUGAACCUGUUUACAGAAGAAAAUGUUUGCUGUGAAUGUGGAUGCUGUAUAUAACUUAUUUUUAGAUCUGUCUUUAUUUUACAAAAUGUUCUUGUACAAAGAUUUCUGAUUGAGAAGGCUGCAUUGAGAAAGCCUCGGUCCUCUCGUAAACUGUAGACUACACUUUUUUGGAGUUGGAGUGGGCCGAGUCAGGAGCGUCUGUCUGCUCGCAAGGCCUGCUACGGAGAAGCGGUUGCCAGAUUGGAAAACCUGAUGGGCCGUGGGACAAUCUGUCAUUCUACACAACAUCUACUGAUCGUUGCACACCUGUGCUGAAAGACCUCUAAAAACCAGCAUUAUGUAUCUGUUACUGUGCCUGCUCUUUACUCAAUGCCAUCCUGGAUUAAUUAGACUGAAUGAUCAAUGGGUGAGUGAAUUAUCUUUGCCUUAUGCCCUACAAUUUGCUAACACUCUGACGAGACCAUCAUGUCAAUCUGCAAUUGCACCACUCUCAAACACAAGUGGACUUACACUUAUACUUCCAAAAUCUCAAAAAAUGUACAAUGGUGCUGGUUCCGCCAAGUCCUCAUGCAUUGGACAACUGAGAUAUAUGUUAUGCUUUUAUUAUUGAUCUCUUGUAAUGUGGGACCAAACCCUGGGCCGGUAGAUACCAUGCAAUCUCUACCGGCUCCCUAGGGUUUUAAAAACAGAGCAGGUUUUGGCCUCUUGCAUGUUAAUGUCAGAAGUCUAUUUCCAAAAAUAGACAUGAUUUAGAAUAUGGGCCAAUACGACAAAUGCAGACAAUGGUUUUAUCAGAAACUUGGCUAUGGAAAUCGGUGUCAUAACCCGAUUUCUAUUGAUGGGUACAACAUUUUUAGAACGGAUCGGAUGAGUAGAGGAGGAGGGGUCGCAAUUUGUCAAAUCCAAGUUUAACACCUGAAAUUCUCUCGAUGACCAAAGCCAAACAUUUUGAAUUGCUUGCGGUUAAAGUGAACUUACAGUUAAAGUCGGAAGUUUACAUACACCUUAACCAAAUACAUUUAAACUCAGUUUUUCACAAUUCCUGACAUUUAAUCCUAGUAAAAAUUCCCUGUCUUAGGUCAGUUAGAUCACCACUUUAUUUUAAGAAUGUGAAAUGUCAGAAUAAUAGUAGAGAUAAUGAUUUAUUUAUGCUUUUAUUUCUUUCAUCACAUUCCCAGUGGGUCAGAAGUGUACAUACACUCAAUUAGUAUUGGGUAGCAUUGCCUUUAAAUUCUUUAACUUGGGUCAAACGUUUUGGGUAGCCUUCCAAAAGCUUCCCACAAUAAGUUGGGUGAAUUUUGGCCCAUUCUUCCUGACAGAGACACCUGAAACCCCACCUCUUUAAGGAAUACCUAGGAUAGGAUAAAGUAAUCCUUCUAACCCCCCCAAAAAAAAAGAAAAAAGAUUUAGAUGCACUAUUGUAAAGUGGUUGUUCCACUGGAUAUCAUAAGGUGAAUCCACCAAUUUGUAAGUCGCUCUGGAUAAGAGCGUCUGCUAAAUGACUUAAAUGUAAAUGUAGAGCUGGUGAAACUGAGUCAGGUUUGUAGGCCUCCUCGCUCGCACACGCUUUUUCAGUUCUGCCCACAAAUUUUCUAUAGGAUUGAGGUCACGGCUUUGUGAUGGCCACUCCAAUACCUUGACUUUGUUGUCCUUAAGCCAUUUUGCCACAAUUUUGGAAGUAUGCUUGGGGUCAUUGUCCAUUUGAUAGACCCAUUUGCGUUCAAGCUUUAACUUCCUGACUGAUGUCUUGAGAUGUUGCUUCAAUAUAUCCACAUCAUUUUCCUCCCCCAUGAUGGCAUCUAUUUUGUGACGUGCACCAGUCCCUCCUGCAGCAAAGCACCCCAACAACAUGAUGCUGCCACCCCCGUACUUCACGGUUGGGAUGGUGUUCUUCAGCUUGCAAGCGUCCCCCUUUUUCGGUCAUUAUGGCCAAACAGUUCUAUUUUUGUUUCAUCAGACCAGAGGACAUUUCUCCAAAAAGUACGAUCUUUGUCCCCAUGUGCAGUUGCAAAUCAUAGUCUGGCUUUUUUAUGGCGGUUUUGGAGCAGUGGCUUCUUCCUUGCUGAGCGGCCUUUCAGGUGAUGUCA
rnacentral:lncRNA from 1 species